UCGAUUGCGAUCCCGCAUGAUGUUCUCUUUUGGCCGAGCACAGUGAAAGACGUCUUUUAAACUCGCGAUUUACAUAAGCAUUGAAGAUUAGGCGAAAAAUUUAGCCAUCUAAAACUCGAUUCUUCUUAGGAAAGAAAAAUCUGUCAGAACUUGAGUAGAAGAAAUUAAAUUGAUCAAACGUAACUGCUAGAAAUUCAAUCAUGACAACACACAAGAGGACGAGUUUCUACACAACCUUGUUAUUUGUUCUUAUUACCUUCAACAUAUUGACGCAUGAGACAUUAGCAUACUAUCUUUGGCCUAGCUUUGGAUGUGGGCAAAUGUAUGACAACCGUCUUUGCACUAGACUUUAUGAUAGAUGGUGGUAUAAUAAGACGUCAAACCAAUGUCAAUCUUUUGUAUUUGGGGGUUGCAACGAAAAUUUCAAUUAUUAUGAGACUAAGGCACAUUGCAUUAACGCAUGUGUAAACCAGAUGCCAUAUUCAUUAAUAUUUUUUGCACAUUCAAUUUCUAAAAUUUUUAACAUUUGAUAUGUAUUUGUAAUAGUUUGAUA